rnacentral:SRP_RNA from 1 species
GCCGGGUGUGGUGGCAUGUGCCUGUAGUCCCAGCUACUCAGGAGGCUGAGACAGGAGGAUUGCUUGAGCCCAGGAGUUUGAGGUUGCAGUGAGCUAUGAUUGCACCACUGCACUCCAGCCUGAAUGACAGAGCAAGACCCUGUCUCUA